CUAGCGACUUCAGAGUUUGAUCCGUGGCUCAGGACGAACGCUGGCGGCGCGCCUAACACAUGCAAGUCGAACGGAGUUGUUAUGACAGAUUCUUCGGAUGAUGGAAUAACAGCUUAGUGGCGAACGGGUGAGUAACGCGUGAGCAAUCUGCCUUAAAGAGGGGGACAACAGUUGGAAACGACUGCUAAUACCGCAUAAGCCCACACUACCGCAUGGUAGAGUGAGAAAAGAUUUUAUCGCUUUAAGAUGAGCUCGCGUCUGAUUAGCUAGUUGGUGGGGUAACGGCCUACCAAGGCAACGAUCAGUAGCCGGACUGAGAGGUUGAUCGGCCACAUUGGGACUGAGACACGGCCCAG
rnacentral:rRNA from 1 species